CUCUCGAUAUUGUUAUGUUAUUCAAGAUUUAUCGAUCCAAACUGUGAGGGCUGGUAUGAGCUUCUCCUGAAGCAUCGCUCCACCUACAGCCUCACAAACUUCUAGGCAACAAAGAACAAGGACAUAAGUCAGCAAUCACCAAUUCACUUUUUUUUUUCUUUAGCCACAACUCUAUAUUUGCAAGGACAGACUCUGGGAGAUACUGAGAUGGGACUUAAGAGAAACCACAGAACAGAAUUAUGCUUGUAGCAAAAGAUGAGGUAAAAAAAAACCUUUGGUCAAAGGUUUCUGUUAUUUUUCUUAGAUUUCUGUUAUUAUCAUCUCAAAUUUGACUCUCUGUUUUGACGAAGGAACGGGCAAUCAAGUGAUGACUGGUAGGUUUUUGACUGAUGGGUGAGAGAGAAGUCUCUCCUUCAUAUAAACUUAAUAACCACGCAGAAACUAAUACAUUCUCCUUAAGUAACAACACCAUAUUCAUUAUGUUCAGAUGGAUGUUCAAACUAAGUGAAUGGAAACGCUUAUCUACUUAUGACGUUGAUUUGAAUACUGGUUCAAGUGAUUGACAGGAAGACUAAGAGGCUUGUGGAAGAGUUGAUAAGACUCAAAGAUUUUUCUGUCCAUGAUAGCUAUUUACCAGUCCAAAAUUUGGGCUUAGACUUAUGGAUCAAGGGGCAAAGGAGAUUCUGCAGAAACUUUCUGAGAAGCAUGGGAAAAAAAUGAACACAGUUGAAUCCGCCCUAAAAAUUGCCAGCUUUCUUAAGUUCUUUAAGGAUCAAAUAAACAUGGCUGAAGUCUAGUAUUCUCUGCAGCACUUCAAGGUAGAAGAGGAGAUCGUAUUUAUAGUCUCAACAUUACAUUCAGAUGAAUUUUUCAUAAUGGAGUUGAAACCUGGUGCGAGAACAAUGGCAUACAUGAACCGUGAUGAUGUUGCUGUAUGUGCUGCUGAUUGUCGAUUAAUGGUAUUCCAGUCAGUGGAGGACAGCACCAGAUUCUGGAUCAAGGGCCGGAAGUUUUCGAUUAGAGGCCUCCUUGGGAAGAAUGUGAACCGAAAUGCCUUUCUUGAUGGAUCUUUGGUGAUAUUCCGACUAGCACCUCAGGAUUAUCAUGGCUUUCAUGUCCCUGUCUCUGGAGUUAUUGAAAAGUUUGGCGAUGUUUCUCGAUGUUUAUAUACGGUACUUGGUCAAAAUAAUUCCUAAAAAUAUAAUAAUCACUUUUUCAUGUUUGUUGAUAUACCAUUCCUUCUCAGGUUAAUCCCAUAGCAAUCAAUAGCAAAUACUGUAACGAAUUAACCGAAAAUAAUCGAACCCUGGCAAUUAUAUCAACAUCAGAGUUUGGAAAGGUUCACUUUACACAAAACCCUCUGUCUUUACAUGCGGCUUUAGAAGUAGGAUGACUAGACUCUUCUAUUUCCCAUAAAAGAGUGGCAUUAUAUUUAUAUUAUAUGAUUAUGGGUUGUGAGGUAAAAU